rnacentral:rRNA from 1 species
AGUUUGAUCAUGGCUCAGAGCGAACGCUGGCGGCGUGCUUAACACAUGCAAGUCGAGUGCGCGUCUGUAGCAAUACAGAUGGCGCACGGCGCACGGGUGCGUAACACGUGGGCAAUCUGCCCUUCGAUGGGGAAUAACCUCGCGAAAGCGAGGCUAAUUCCGCAUAACAUUCCGAUGAUCUUGGUCAAUGGAUUCAAAGCCGUAAGGCGUCGAAGGAGGAGCCCGCGCACGAUUAGCUAGUUGGUGAGGUAACGGCUCACCAAGGCUAUGAUCGUUAGCUGGUCUGAGAGGAUGGCCAGCCACACUGGAACUGAGACACGGUCCAGACUCCUACGGGAGGCAGCAGUGGGGAAUCUUGCACAAUGGGCGAAAGCCUGAUGCAGCGACGCCGCGUGGGGGAUGAAGCUUUUCGGAGUGUAAACCCCUUUCGACCCGGACGAAUGCCUCGCAAGAGGACUGACGGUACGGGUAUAAGAAGCCCCGGCUAACUACGUGCCAGCAGCCGCGGUAAGACGUAGGGGGCCAGCGUUGCUCGGAAUUACUGGGUGUAA